rnacentral:pre_miRNA from 1 species
AAAAUACUCUCUCCGUUUGGAAAUAUUUGUCAUUAAAAUGGAUAAAAGAAGAUGUAUUUAGAUGUAUUUUAGUUUUAGAUACAUAUUUCUUUAUCUAUUUUGAUAACAAGUAUUUUCAGAUAAAGGGAGUGGAAA